rnacentral:lncRNA from 1 species
AAUCCAGUUCACUUUACAUUCUGAGUUUGAGGAGCGAUAAUGCGAAUGCUCGGAGUUUUACUUGGCAUGUUGGCCGCGUUUGUGGUUGUUGUUGAUUUUGUAGCCAGUGUUUCAUUGAGAAAAAGUGAACUCUUAUAUAAAUGUGAUACGGAUAAGGAAUUAAUUUUGUGAUUUUGUAUAGGGGUCUGUGAACUUCGUCCCGAGUAUGGAGAAUGCAAAGGACAUCGUUUGAUGUGGGCCUACGAUGCGAAUCGAAAACAAUGCCGUCAAUUUACAUACUCUAAUUGUGGCGGCAAUCGGAAUAGAUUUUCUACCGAAAGACAUUGCUUUGAGACUUGUGAGGAUUACACGUAUAUCGAAGUCUCAGGCCAAUGGAUGCCAAUAGAGAGAAAUUAGAGUAAUCGUUAUUUUAUUCAUUCAUCUGCAGCAAAGUCACCGAAUGGAAUAAAUGCUUGAAUUGCUAACAUGUCGACCACUUUCAGUACACACGUUUUGUUGGCGUCUGGCGGUUUUUUUGGUACAAC